GUCUCAUUGCGAAAUGCUUCGAAAGCUUUACUUGCAAAUGGUGGACAAAUCUUAUCUUGGUAGUUCUGAUGAGGUUACUAAGCUUUUGCAACGGGUUGAGGAGACUUAAGUUAAACACUUUGCUAAUGGAAAUCAUAGAAAGGGACUGAAAACUCUAAGGCCGCAAGCUAA